CCCAGGAUUUCUCCUCAAAAUGAAGUUGCCUGGUAGACUGCUGGUGCUGUUGUUCUGGAUUCCUGCUUCCAGCAGUGAUGUUGUGAUGACCCAAACUCCUGUUUCCCUGCCUGUCAGUCGUGGAGAUCAAGCCUCUAUCUCUUGCAGGUCUAGUCAGAGCCUUGUACAUAGUAAUGGAAAUACCUAUUUGCAUUGGUACCUGCAGAAGCCAGGCCAGUCUCCACAACUCCUGAUCUACAAGGUUUCCAACAGAUUUUCUGGGGUCCCAGACAGGUUCAGUGGCAGUGGGUCAGGGACAGAUUUCACACUCAAGAUCAGCAGAGUGGAGCCUGAGGAUUUGGGAGUUUAUUACUGCUUCCAAGGUACACAUUUACCUCCCACAGUGAUACAGACCCUAACAAAAAUGUCCUUGCUUGGAGUAUCACAGCUGUCAAAUAAGUUAACUUAUCUGUUUUUAGCCUUCAGAGGUGAUGUUGUACUGAACAAGUCUUCAGAUAUCCUGUCUGUAAUGCCAAGGGGAGUCACCAUCAACUGUUAUUCCAGUGAAGACAGUGCCAUCUACAAUGGUAUCAACAGAAACUGA